rnacentral:piRNA from 1 species
GGGUUCGAUUCCCGGUCAGGGAA